UGGUAAAGAUAUGGUGGAGCAUACGCUCAUUGGUGAAUGGUACUCUCAGAUGGAACUGGCACUGGGAGAGCCUACCAGAGUUUAAGGCGUGAAACAGUAUGAAGAUUUUAUUGCUUGAUUCAAAAUUGAAAUGUGAUACACCUUGAGGUAUGUGGAAUUUUAAUUAGAUGGACCACCCAUCAAAUUUUCAUCAAGUAAAUUACAUAAAGAAUUGAUUUUUGACUAGGUAAAGGAACUGCUGAUCUCAAGAUUCAAGCCUAGUUAUGUUUCAUGGUUGAGAAUAAUUUUAUGAUUCUUGAACACUGAUCUUGCUGGUUCUUUUCAUCUGGUUUUAUCUAUUGUGAUUCUUUUCCCUCUCUUUAUUUUGGAGUAAAAAAAUGUGUAAUUUUGAUGUAGGAGUGUUUAUACCUAGACUAGGAAACAAUGAAACAACAUGGGCAAAUUAUCCAUGCACAUCGUUAUGCAUAUGCUGAAAGUGGUAGAUUGUAAUGUUGCUAACCUUAUAGGUUUUAUACCAUGCAGUUGGAUGGGUUUGCUAAGCACUAUCCAGUUUACGGUCAAAUCAGUUUAAUUCAGAAUUGAAAGUUUAGGUAACAAAUGCCUAUUCCAGUAUAUUGGCACAGAAGUCCCGUCCCUAAGGAACAAUACUAUGUUCAUGUUGGAUUAAGAUUGAAAAUUUGGUCAUGCUAAAGUUGAGAACUAGUUCAAAAGAUGCCGUUAGAAAAUUGAGAAACAGGGACAACACAUCAUAAAUUGCGAGGACAUUGGGGUUCGUUUAUUUAAAAUUAUUUUUUAAGAAUUUUUUAUUAUAUUAAUUGUAAUGAUGAAUUAAUUAUA
rnacentral:misc_RNA from 1 species